GACGAACCGUCCAAACGUUAUUCGGAAUUACUGGGCUUAAAGGGUGCGUAGGCGGCGCGGAAAGUUGGGUGUGAAAUCCCUCGGCUCAACCGAGGAACUGCGCCCAAAACUACCGUGCUCGAGGGAGAUAGAGGUGAGCGGAACUUAGGGUGGAGCGGUGAAAUGCGCAGAUAUCGGGAGGAACACCAAUGGCGAAGGCAGCUCGCUGGGACGGUACUGACGCUGAGACGCGAAAGCGUGGGGAGCAAACAGG
rnacentral:rRNA from 1 species